GGCCGGGUCCCUGGACACAUUUUUUAAACUAGAUACCCCAAAGAUAAUUGUGGCCAAGUUUGGAUAAAUUUGGCCCAGUGGUUUCAGAGGAGAAAAUUUUUGUAAAAGAUUACUAAGAUUUACGAAAAAUGGUUAAAAAUUGACUAUAAAGGGCAAUAACUCCUAUAUGGGUCAACUGACCAUUUCGGUCAUGUUGACUUAUUUGUAGAUCUUACUUUGCUGAACAUUAUUGCUGUUUACAGUUUAUCUCUAUCUAUAAUAAUAUUCAAGAUAAUAACCAUAUAACGGCAAAAUUUCCUUAAAAUUGCAAAUUCAGGGGGCAGCAACCCAAACAACCGUUGUCCCGAUUCGUCUGAAAAUUUUAGGGCAGAUAGAUCUUGACUUAAUAAACAAUUUAACCCCAUGUCAGAUUUGCUCUAAAUGCUUCGGUUUCAGAGUUAUAAGCCAAAAACUGCAUUUGACCCCUAUGUUCUAUUUUUAGCCAUGGUGGCCAUCUUGGUUGGUUGGCCGGGUAACCGAACACAUUUUUUAAACUAGAUACCCCAAUGAUGAUUGUGGCCAAGUUUGGUUAAAUUUGGCCCAGUAGUUUCAGAGGAGAAGAUUUUUGUAAAAGUUAACGACGACGGACGACGGACGACGGACGCCGGACGACGACGGACGCCGGACGCCAAGUGAUGAGAAAAGCUCACUUGGCCCUUCGGGCCAGGUGAGCUAAAAAGACAAACAGACAAAUAAUAGUACACAUGACACAACAUAGAAAACUAAAGAAUAAGUUAAAUUGUGCUAAAAAGUGGUUUCUGGAUGCUAUUAAAAAUCAAAUAUUGAUUAUGGGGUUUCAAGCUGACUUGGAUAUAUGGUCACAUAUAAUGAGAUGAAAACCAAGGUCAUACUAAAUAUUUCAUCACAUUUGUGCAGACAAUUGGUGUCCAGAUGGUAGAUUGAAUAUAAUAAGAAGAAG
rnacentral:lncRNA from 1 species